rnacentral:rRNA from 1 species
AGUGAACGCUGGCGGUAGGCCUAACACAUGCAAGUCGAACGGCAGCACAGUAAGAGCUUGCUCUUACGGGUGGCGAGUGGCGGACGGGUGAGGAAUACAUCGGAAUCUACUUUUUCGUGGGGGAUAACGUAGGGACACUUACGCUAAUACCGCAUACGACCUACGGGUGAAAGCAGGGGAUCUUCGGACCUUGCGCGAUUGAAUGAGCCGAUGUCGGAUUAGCUAGUUGGCGGGGUAAAGGCCCACCAAGGCGACGAUCCGUAGCUGGUCUGAGAGGAUGAUCAGCCACACUGGAACCGAGACACGGUCCAGACUCCUACGGGAGGCAGCAGUGGGGAAUAUUGGACAAUGGGCGCAAGCCUGAUCCAGCCAUACCGCGUGGGUGAAGAAGGCCUUCGGGUUGUAAAGCCCUUUUGUUGGGAAAGAAAAGCAGCAGGUUAAUACCCCGCUGUUCUGACGGUACCCAAAGAAUAAGCACCGGCUAACUUCGUG